rnacentral:rRNA from 1 species
GAUGAACGCUGGCGGCGUGCCUAAUACAUGCAAGUCGAGCGAACAGAUGAGGAGCUUGCUCCUCUGACGUUAGCGGCGGACGGGUGAGUAACACGUGGAUAACCUACCUAUAAGACUGGGAUAACUUCGGGAAACCGGAGCUAAUACCGGAUAAUAUAUUGAACCGCAUGGUUCAAUAGUGAAAGACGGUUUUGCUGUCACUUAUAGAUGGAUCCGCGCCGCAUUAGCUAGUUGGUAAGGUAACGGCUUACCAAGGCAACGAUGCGUAGCCGACCUGAGAGGGUGAUCGGCCACACUGGAACUGAGACACGGUCCAGACUCCUACGGGAGGCAGCAGUAGGGAAUCUUCCGCAAUGGGCGAAAGCCUGACGGAGCAACGCCGCGUGAGUGAUGAAGGCCUUCGGAUCGUAAAACUCUGUUAUUAGGGAAGAACAAAUGUGUAAGUAACUAUGCACGUCUUGACGGUACCUAAUCAGAAAGCCACGGCUAACUACGUG